UAUUCUGGAGAACAAAACAAAUUGCUAAAUCAAUCUGUAUUCUCCACAUUUCCAUUUGCACACAGUAAAGGUGCAUUUUCA